AGAGUUUGAUCCUGGCUCAGAACUAACGCUGGCGGCGGGUCUUAAACAUGCAAGUCGAACGGUAACAUGAUUGUAGCAAUACAGUUGAUGACGAGUGGCGGACGGGUGAGUAACACGUAGGAAUCUGCCCCAAAGUGGGGGACAACUCCGCGAAAGCGGGGCUAAUACCCCAUAAUACAGUAAUGUUAAAGGUUGGGUAACCAAUCGCUUUGGGAUGAGCCUGCGGUCUAUCAGCUAGUUGGCGGGGUAAAAGCCCACCAAGGCUACGACGGAUAGCCGGCCUGAGAGGGUGGUCGGUCACACUGGAACUGAGACACGGUCCAGACUCCUACGGGAGGCAGCAGUUAAGAAUCUUGCGCAAUGGGCGAAAGCCUGACGCAGCCACGCCGCGUGGAGGAUUAAGGCCUUAUGGUUGUAAACUCUAGUGAAAAGGGAAGAAUAAGUAAGGUCGAAUAGGCCUUACGAUGACGGUACCUUUCUGAAGCCCCGGCUAAUUACGUGCCAGCAGCCGCGGUAAUACGUAUGGGGCAAGCGUUGUUCGGAAUUAUUGGGCGUAAAGGGCACGCAGGCGGAUCGCUAAGUUGGAUGUAUAAUCCCCAAGCUUAACUUGGGCACUGCAUUCAAAACUGGCAAUCUAGAGUAGUGGAGGGGAUAGCGGAAUUCUCGGUGUAGCGGUGGAAUGUGUAGAUAUCGAGAGGAACACCAAUGGCGAAGGCAGCUAUCUGGCCACAAACUGACGCUCAGGUGCGAAAGCGUGGGGAUCAAACAGGAUUAGAUACCCUGGUAGUCCACGCCUUAAACGUUGUGUACUAGAUGUUGGGAGUUUCAACGCUCUCAGUGUCGCAGCUAACGCAUUAAGUACACCGCCUGGGGAGUAUGCUCGCAAGGGUGAAACUCAAAGGAAUUGACGGGGGCCCGCACAAGCGGUGGAGCAUGUGGUUUAAUUCGACGAUACACGAAGAACCUUACCCGGGUUUGACAUCACUUGGAUAGGUGCAGAGAUGCACCCUCCUUUAUGGCCAAGUGACAGGUGUUGCAUGGUCGUCGUCAGCUCGUGUUGUGAGAUGUUGGGUUAAGUCCCGCAACGAGCGCAACCCUUACCUCUUGUUUCCACCAGGUAAUGCUGAGCACUCUAGAGGGACUGCCGGCGAUAUAAGCCGGAGGAAGGUGAGGAUGACGUCAGAUCAGCAUGGCCCUUACGUCCGGGGCUACACACGUGCUACAAUGGUUGGUACAAUGGGAAGCCAAGUCGCGAGAUGGAGCAAAUCUCAAAAAAAACCAAUCUUAGUUCAGAUUGCAGUCUGCAACUCGACUGCAUGAAGGCGGAAUCGCUAGUAAUCGUGGAUCAGCUAUGCCACGGUGAAUACGUUCCCGGGCCUUGUACACACCGCCCGUCACACCACCCGAGUUUGCGGCACCCAAAUAGGCUGCGCUAACCCGCAAGGGAGGCAGGUCUUUAAGGUGAAGUAGGCGAGGGGGGUGAAGUCGUAACAAGGUA
rnacentral:rRNA from 1 species